rnacentral:lncRNA from 1 species
GAAAAUGUGCAAGUUGAGGCGUGUGCCACCAGGCCUGGCCUUCCACGCAAGGGCUUUGAAGAAUUUAUAUAUAUAUGAUGUGAAGCAUCUAAGCUCUUUGGAGAACUUUGCUUCUGUGGUCCACCUCGAUGUGUUUAGAAACACUCACCUGGAGAGGAUCAGUAAUCUACCAAAACUGCAGAAGCUUGUCAUUCUCAUGUGCCCAAAGCUGAAGGUAGUGGAUGGCAUGCCUGCACUCCAGAGACUCGAACUGGGGGAUUAUGACAUGGAAACAGUCCCUAGGUAUCUGCAGGAUGUAAACCCAAGACAUUUGCUGCUGGAUUGUUCCUUAUCGCUGCUCACGUGUAUAGCAGCAGGAAAAUCUGGUCCUGAAUGGGAUAAGUUUCGCCAUAUCCAGCAAGUCAAAGCCUAUGCAAAUGAAGAAGGCUGUCCAAGGAAGUGGUAUGUGCUCUACACAAGGAACCCUUACCGCUUCGAGACAAAUAUCAGCCGCUCUGCUAUUGCCCAAGGUAAAUUAACACAGCCGCCUUCCAAUGUAAUUUAUUUUUUGGCACUCUGUUUUCCUCGGUUUCCUUCAAUCAGUUCAAUUCAUCUUCUGCAGCUCACGGACGCCGCAUAUGGCUUGCUUACUCGGAAACAUGUCCCAUUGAAGAUGAGUGGCCCACAGGAGGACACACGUAUGUAGAAAAACGUAUGCCCCUCUGCGUACGCUUCAGGUAAAAAAGUUGGCUACACGUUGAUUGCUUCCCUCUGUUUCAGUAAUUGUGCAUGCUUACACCUCCUUGACACGUGAUUAAUUGAACAUGGCAAGUUCUUUACCAUUUCAUUUCGUCCGUGCAACGUAUUUUUGCAACAUGUGCAGGUGCAACGCCUAUCGCCACUUGAAUGGCUGGUUUGAUGAAGCGUGCCUGCACUGCCAUGAAGCCGACAACAUCGCUUCCCCAUCUGAUCAGUGGACCCAAGGAGAAGUGCUUUCAGCCCGUAUAAAGACUGUUUGGGCAUGAGUGGAGGAAACGUCUUUAGUUUAGUGUGAGUAUGUGCAUCUUGGCUAUUCCUUGAUCUGCUUCUGUACCUUGUGUAUAAGAUCCUCAGCUUGUGUAUGUUCAUUUUACUGCUUUUUAGGGGCUUGUGUUCGAUCUUAUACUGUAACAUCUAGAAUACGUUUAUUGCGUUAGAAGUGUAAAGUGGUAUAAUAAUAAUAAUUGUAAUUUUAUCCAUCACUCAAAUGAAUGAUCAGAGAUUUUAGAUGCGUAGAGCUCGUCGAAUGCUUUCAGUUGCACUACUCAUAUGUAUUGUUUGGAAUUUGGAUCAUGGAGAUAUAAAUUUCAGAAGUUUUAAGAAAGAAAAAAUAAACAGGACCUUUUACUGUAGUGUGACGCGUGGUGGCCUUUUAUAUCCGCUCCAAGGCCUUUAGGUUCCAUCCAUAGCUUUUCAUAUUCAGGAUAAAAAAAAGAGGAGAGGGGAGAAAAGAGAAAGGAGAAGGGAGAAGGGGAGGAUAGGGCCUAGGGUUUUGCCGCCGUCGUAGCCGCCGCCGCCGCUGUCGGUCAUCCGUGGUGGUCGUUCUUCCUUCCGUGGAAAAUACGGUUUGGUUCUACCUUGUAUCUUGGCUGUUCCAUUGAUCUACCAUGUCCCUUUUACUGUCCAUGAGGGCUUAGCCAUGUUUGGCGUAGAUCGGAAUAACAAGGCUUUUAUGGCGGCAAGGAUCGUGGCGAGUUGGAUCGGAGAUAAUGGAAAGGUGAAGAGGCGGAGAAGAAGGAGUAGACGCCAGGAGUUUCGGCGUCGUGCUCGCUGUGGUUCUCUAGGUGAGAAGCCAAAUAUUAAUCCCCUUCAUCUGAUCAAGUUUUGCGGAUUAAAUCGCUUAUUUGGGAUUGGGUUUAGUGGAGAAAUUCUUGAAGUCAUUUUCGUUCAUGUCCUGAAAUUCUCGUCAGACUGAGCAGUCACUGUUCAUCGUAAUGUUAGGGCAUUUUAGAGGCUUUAAUAAUUUUUGAGCCUGUGGACAAAGUUGUAGAGGACUUCAAUAUCUUUCUUUAGACGCCAAGAACUCUGUCAGAGCAGUUAUAAUUUGUGAGAUAUCGAGUUUUCAAUCUGACUGUUUUCCAGUGACGAAAAUCUGGACAGUUUUGGAUCUAAACAGUUUUUGACCCUGUUAAUGAAAUAAUUAGGUCUUUGAUUAUUAACAAAUGUUUUAGGAUUUUUGUUAAGCUUUCUAUAUUGGUAAAGUUUGUAACUUUUGAAUAAGUAUAUCACCAGUUAUGAAUUUUUGAAGUUUGAUGUUCUGUUUUGAAGGUCAGAAAUAUUCAGUUGUGUUCUAUGGUUAAUUAUACCAUCUUGCAGAUCUCUGAUGCAAAACCUUACAAUACAAAAGUUGUAUAUAACAGAGUUUUACAUGAUCUGAUAAAUUAUGGUAAUUUUUGGAUGAGUAUUCUGAAGUAUAUGAAAAAGAGAAGAGUCGGUGCUGCUGUCUUGAUCGGUAGCGCAAACGGUAGAGGCUUGAAUGUCGGGUUUGGGGCGCAUUAGUGCGUAUUUGUUCUUACUCUUGCUUGUAUGUUGGUGUAUGUACUGAGUAGUAUUUGUGAUCAGGUGGUAGCACUUCGGAACAUCGCUAGUGUUUUUGUUCUCCUUCGGUAAAGAGGCAAGUGAAUGUAGCGGUGGUUUGCUACCGUUUUGGCUUGUUAUUUUUAUCACCUACAGUUUAUUGUCUAUAAGAAUGUCAUCCCUCUCAUAUCUAAAAUUUAUGAUUUUGGUAUAUUUAGUCUUAGUUAAAUUGUGGUCUUAUUUAAGUAUUUAUGGUGAUGGUAUUAUUUUAUAUUGUUAUUUGUGGCUAGCCCACAAACCUGAAUUUGAAGUCGGAGUAUCAUUGGUGAUUUAUUAAUUUUAUUGCAACAUACCAAGUGCAUUGCAUCAUUCAUUGGCAUUGGAAGUUAUGUCUUGACCUAUGGUCAUGACUGUACCGGUAUGCAUCAUGGGAUGCAGCUCCACACCUUAUUGGGUGUGCAGGCAGGAGACAUAUGCAUUGCAUUCAUAUGCAUUCAUGAGAAGUAUGUUAUUGAAGAGAUUUUAUCCACGUUAUUAUGAAGCUCUGUAUUAUUGGCUAUGUUCCAAAUUGGAAGACUGUUACUUUUAGUAUGAUAUUAUGUCAAUUGAGAACAUCAUAUUAAAUUGAUGUUAAUUCAAAUUGUGGUUUCAAUAGCUUGUCAAAACAAGUUCGCUUGCUGAGAUGUUUCGUCUCACCCUUGCUUUACUCAAUCCAGGUACUUGAUGCUUACUUGGAAGGGAAGAGACUUAGCUGCACGUCACACACGUAUUCAUUUAGAGACCUUGUGUUUUAAUAAAUAAUAAUUUGGUUUGCUUAUUGGUUUUGAAGGCGGUUGUUAAAGUGUGGGUGUUAAACUUAAUUCUUGUUGAAGUAACUUAUUUGCGUUAGGAUGUUCAUUAAUCCUAGUUUGGUAUUUUAGUAAUUUUUUUUUAUAUUUUAUUCUUCCGCUUGCUAUAAAUACAAAGAAGAUACUGUCAAAUUGUUUAUGGUUGUGUGCAGCUGUUGUUUGUGUAGUCUAGUAGCAUCCCGGUGUAUUUGUGGUUUUCGGGGUGUUACAUAUACAGUAUGGACACAUGCCACAUUGCAGAAAUAAAUGUUCUAUCUGCUACUGAACAUGUACACAGAUUGCAAAAUUAUAUGUUCUGUAAUUUCACUAUUUUAUCAGGCUUACGAUAGUGAAUGGUAAACUGGUUGUGAUGUCAUCAAUGGACUCAUGGCACACUGCAAAUACAUAUGUGUUACAUUUCUUAUGAACUUUUAUGUUUUUUUAUUCUGGAUUGGAGCAUGCUCGCACUCCAAAUCCUCCAAUAGCCCUUUGCUCAGUGGAGACAAAUCUAUAACCAGGUGUGCCCGGAGGAUAUCCCAGCUGCCCGUAACCAAAUUCCUCCAAUUACUAGUUUCCUGGGCUCCCUGGAAAUACCAGAAUAUUGUGGUGUCCAACCACCUCCUGCUGUCAAUGAGAAAGCUGGCACCUUCGAUAUCACUCUUGCGAUCUUGGCGAGCAGGUCACUGACAUCUUGGUGGGCACCAUUAGUUUUUGUUUUUAUUUAAAUUUAAUGCUAUAUACAUGUACCGUAAGAUUCGAUAUGACGAAAAAUCUUAAAAAAAUACAAAUUUUUUUUGGGAAGCCCUAGGCACCCCAAACCAGGUGAGGUCACACGGGCCUAUGCGAGAUCCGGCGUGCCAGCAAACUGGCUCCUAACAGAGUGUUCGAUGACAGAAUAAUUCCCAUCCCCGCCAAUACCAGUCCUAUCCAUGAAAAGGCGAAGAAGGCCCACGUCGGCAUGCUCUGUCGCUAGUCCCCACUAGCGCCUUCUGCGGGUCCCGUCACCAGUCCUCGCUGAUCGGUCUCUCAUCUUCUCCACCGGGACCCCUCGCCGCCGUCUCCUCUGCCUCUCAUCUUCUGCAACAACGGGUAGGCAAAGAGGUGGCAUGUGUGGCUCGCCGGCCGUUGAGCCGAGGCAGAGCGCGCGUCUCGGCAUCAAAGACAAAGGAUGCACGGGAGUCAAUUGGAAGUCGAUGCAGGAGGAGCGUAGGAGAGAGAAGGCACUGUGCUAUAUGUUUUUUUUUUGUUAUUUAUGGUGCAUUGUUGGUGAGCGUGAUGAGUCCUAUCCUACAAUGAGACUUAUGAGCAGUUUGGGAGUGUACCCAAACUAAUUUUGGGUUGGGUUGAAGUGAACCCAUCACGCCUUUGGGUAGAAGGACAGGGUUAUCCCAUAUUUUUUAUUUGGUUGGAGAUAAACUGUGUCGGGGUUUGGAUUCAUGACACGUGGGUCCUGCAUGUCAGCCUUCUAUCAAUUCUUCUCCCAUGGGUCAUCCUUUGAUCGUCCCUGACACCGCCGCUCUCUGCUCCCACACUAUCGUGGCCCUCUACAACCAAUGCAUCUCGCUCGCGCAGCUCUCUUGGCUUGCCUGCGCAUGGGCACAAUUGCCACGUCUGGCCAUAGAAGAGACCGUGUUCCGACUAUCGGAUCCCUACGUCCAGCAAUGGUUGUUGUUUAUAUUCAAUUCGAGAGCACCCAAAUCAGGGGUUACAAUGAAAGAGAGUGAAUCGACACGAGAUCACUCGGUGCUAUCAAGCCUCGUUGGUGGCGAGGAAGAAGAAAUGUUCCCCUCUCUCACUGGAUUGCUAACCAUGCCUACAAAAAGGAUGGAUACAAAACUCCCCGAUUUCUAGGAAGCCCCUACAAUCGAUUUUCAAGCCGCCUCUACAAAUCAAUUUUCAGAAAUCAUGCGAUUUUAGGCUAAAAAAUAGGAACAAAAAGUGGCACCAUUGGUCCACCAACCCUUCCCCUCACACAUAUCUUCCUCUACCACUGCACCCUACACUCAAUGUGUCUAUAACCUAUUUUUGGCUUGCAGCAUAAGCCACAAUAUUUUUUGUACACUUUGUGGCCGACGGGAUUUGAACCCAUGACCUUCCCCUCACAUGUAUCCUCUUCUACCACUACACCUCACACUUAAUCUGUCUAUAAUCCAUUUUUGCACACUUCGUGGCCGAUGAAAUUCGAACCCAUGACAACCCUCCCCCCGCCUAGCACGUAUCCUCCUGUAUCACCUCACACUCAAUGUUUUUAUAAUCCAUUUUUGCUUCCCAAAAUAUUAUACCGAGCAUAAAUUGAUUGUCUGAGGCCCUAAACGAUUUCAUAUGAACAAGUUAUCAACUAUAAAGUUUCAUAACUUUUUUAUAUCUAUAACUUUCAUGUUGGUAAUUUUUCCAUCUGAGAUCGUUUCAAAAAUUUGAAUUUAAAAUUUACAAGAUUCAAACGUAAUUUUUCAUGAUAAGAUGAUAGCAAAUGAAAAAGCUAUCAACUAGAAAGUUUCAUAACUUUUCGAAAUCUACAACUUUCAAUUUUGCUAUUUGUCCAUCCGCGAUCGUUUAAAAAAUCAUAAUUUGAAAUUUUGAAAAUUUAAGCAUAGUUUUCUUGACAACAUGAUUUCGAUAACAAGUUAGUCAUCACCGAGUUCAUAUGAAGCCAACGGUCUGGCUUCCACGAUGGAUUUGUGGACCGAAGCAGACCGGCGUUAGACAUGUAGAUAUUAUGAGACUCGAAAUAGACGUCUUGCUAUUGAUGGAAAUAUCGCCUACCGCUGAAAGCACAACAACAUUAAAUCCCUAAAGUAUUUACUCCCAGGAGUUGAAAGAACUACUAAGGCCUUUGUAAACCACUAGGCUACAGACCUUUGUUUCUGUAAACAUGCAUGCUUACACCUCCUUGACACUAGAUCAAUCGGACAUGGCAAAAACGAGAUAAACUUUUUAUACAGUUUAUUUGUAAAUCGCGAGAUAAACUUUUUAAGUCUAGUUAGUCCAUGAUUGGACAAUAUUUACCAAAUAAAAACGAAAGUGCUACAAAACCAAAAAAAUUUAGGCACUAAACAAGGCCUGACUGUUAGAACACCCAUGGUCACUUGGUUCUGUAGUUUGACGAAGGCUGCCUGCACUGCCGUGAAGGCGACGGCAUCGAUUCCCCAUCAGAUCAGUGGGCAGAAGCAGCAGUGUAUUCUGGGUGUACACAGAUUAUUAUGCAUGCAUUUUGGGAAUUAUCGUUGUUCUGCAUCUGUACCUUGUGCUCGUAGGAGCACAAAACAGAGCUUGUUCUGUUUUCAGACAUUGUUCACUCUGCUUUCUUGAUGCUCCUCAAGUUGCUGUACCCAAGCCAAACUAGCAUACGAAUUAGCGGUCUCAUCCCAGCCAUCAAUCAAAUGCCCAUCGCCCACUUAGCAAGUCUUCCUGUUUGCUACCAACGGGGGCUUCACAUCUACCGUCGGUAUUAUUAUUUCCUCAUUCAAUCUCCUCCGUUAAACAAGUCAAAAUUCCCUUAUAUAUAGCAGCAAAGAAAUGGACGAAUAUUGGUAUCUUUUAUGACGAGAGCUGAUUGUGACAUCCAUCCAUUAUUAUUAUAUUAGCCUGCCGUGGAGCAUGCAUGGACGGACGACGCCACAGUAGACUGAACUGCAACGUCUGUUGAACACAACGUCUGUCUGUUGCAUGAUGAUGCUGAUGAUGGCUCACCCUGUUGAACCGUGGAAGCAAGUUCGGACUGAACUGCAGCAGCAAUUUACAAGCCCGUUUUGAUCGCGUGUGUUGGAAUGGAACCGCUCGUGCCCAGGCUCUGGAUGGAUGGUUUUCGGCUUCCCUGUGUCUCGCUCGCACUGCUACCAUCAUCUCGUGACUCAAACAUCAUGUAUGCCUGGCCUUGUUUAGUUCCUAAAAAAUUUUGCAAAAUUUUUCAGAUUCUCCGUCACAUCAAAUCUUUAGACGCAUACAUGAAGUAUUAAAUAUAGAUGAAAAUAAAACUAAUUGCACAGUUUGGUCGAAAUUGAUGAGAUGAAUCUUUUAAGUCUAGGUAGUACAUAAUUAGAUAAUAUUUGUCAAAUACAAACGAAAGUGUUACUAUUCCAAUUUUGUAAAAAAAUUUGGAACUAAACAAGGCCAACUUUCAUCUACGUUCCAGUGCUAGAUGGCUCCCCACACUAACUUGGCAUAAGUUGGCCAUACAUCAUUACAUUAUUUAAUUUACAGAGGAUAGACAUUGACCAAGGCUAGAGCCUCGCAUAGUCAGGGGUCACCUUCAUCCAACAAACACGCUGAGUCAGAUUUGUCGCGAUCAUUUUGGAAUAUAUAAUCCCAAAGCAUCUGAUUCCACUACUAAAGCUGAUGAUUCUUAUAAUAUAUUUUUUAUGAAAAAAUAAAAAAACGCAGGAAGUGGCCUACAUUGAAUGCACAAAAUAUUGUUUCCACACAGUACAAAGAUAGAUUGCACAAUCGUCUUUGUGCCUGCUUGGAUUCCACCACUAAUCGAACGAAGCUGCCUGGCACUUUCCUUCUCACCUUGCACUGUCACCACACGACCCACUCCAACCACCACCUUCUUCCCUGAAUCAUCACCAUUUUCCUUCCCAGCUUCAAGCAGCCAAACGGAAGACACCAACCAGCUACUGCGAUUCUUGCGGACAACUUGACUCCAUGCAUGUUGCUGCUCAACCUUUCAUCACUAACGGGCAUGCCACAAUCCAGCAGUAGCAUCUGGUUGGUCAGGUCGGCGAUGUCCAUGCUGAUUCCUGCCUAGCCAUUGACCAAUAAUACAUCCUGUUGUUGCAACGCCUCUCCGCUUCCGGCCAUUGCUCAGCUCAUCGGACUCAGGUUUGUUUCCUUAACCGUUACGUUUCUGCAGUGGCUUAUGCUUAGCAAGAUCUGCCCAUAUAGCUACUGCCCCCAGUGACCCACCGGCACGGCACAGUCCAGCAGUAGUAUAAGGUGGGUCAGGUCGAAGAUGUCCAUACUGAUACCUGUCUAACCAUUAACUAAGAUCGAGAUCCUACUCCACGACCAAGCUAGAACGAACAACAGUGGCACUGCCUCACCAAUUCUGGCCAUUGCACAGCUCGUCAACUUGAGGUUUGUUUCCUUAACCGUUACGUUUCUGCAGCUAGUUGUGCACAGAUAGUGCCCACUGUGUUGUAAUUGUUAUAUGUCUCUGCAGCUGCUUAUGAGUAUCUAGAUCUGUGUAUAUAGUUGCCACUGUCAUGUACUUGUAUCAAUAAUGAACGAGAAGUCAGUACUAGUGCCGCGAUGGCUGCAUGUACAGAUGGCAGAUGAUUGAAUCUUUGUUGUAUAAAAUUGAAAUGCAGUGUUGAAAUUAACAUCUGUUCUAAUUUCGUUACAGCAAAAACGGAAGUUCCCAAUCAUGGCCGGUGUCCUAGAUGCUUUGGCAUCCUACAUCCAAAACAUGCUUCUGCAGAUGGCGGCAGAAGAGGUGCAUAUGUUGCUUGGGGUGUCCGGUGAGAUUGACAACAUGGACAUCAAGCUUCGGGAUCUAAAGAACAUCCUUGCUGAUGCUGAUAGGAGGAACAUCACUGACAAAAGCGUCCUAGCAUGGGGGAUAGAGCUAAGGAAUGCUAUGUAUGAUGCCACUGAUAUCCUCGACCUUUGCAAGCUCAAGGCUAUGGAGCAAGGCCAAAGGCAUGAUGCCGGAUGCUUCAACCCGUUGCUCUUCUGCAUACGGAAUCCCCUACAUGCCCACGAUAUUGGAAGCCGCAUCAAGAACCUUAACAAGAGGCUAGACGACAUCAAGGCACGUGGUGCAUCAUUCAACUUCCUGAACCUUAGUACUUAUGAGGAUCGUGGAAGAAAUGUGAUAUCAUAUGGUUCUAGUACCCGUGAGACAUCGGGGGGCCUUGUUGAGUCUGGUUUGGUUGGUGAGAAGAUUGAAGAGGACACAAUAAAUCUUGUGGAGAUGCUAACAAAGAAGUAUCCUACCGACGACAACAAAUCCAACAAAAUAAUGGUUUUCUCUAUUGUGGGAGCUGGUGGGAUUGGUAAAACCACCCUUGCUCAAAAGAUCUUCAACAAUGAAGUCAUAAAGGAUGAGUUCAAAAAGAAAAUAUGGUUGAGUGUCAACCAAGGCUUUGAUGAUAUUGAAAUGUUAAGGAGGGUUAUUAUCGAAGCUGGUGGAAACCACCAUGAUUGUGGAAAUGCAAAGGUGUCACUAGAACACACUCUAAUAGAAGCUUUGAAGGGACAAAAAACCUUAUUAAUAAUAGAUGAUGUCUGGGACAGCCGUAUAUGGGAAGGCGUGCUUAGAACUCCCUUUGUCAAUGCCAUGCUAGCUGAAGGUAGCCGUGUGCUGGUCACCACAAGGCAUGACACAGUGGCACGUCAGAUGAAGGCGGAGGAGCCCUACCAUCGUAUUGACAGACUUGGGCUUGAAGAUGCAUGGAUGCUGCUCAAGAAGCAGGUUCAAGUUAAUCCAUACAUUUAUUACUUUUCAUUAAUCAUGCGUUAUGUUUUCUAGCUGCAUCACUUUAUUUGCUUCUAUCUUAGUAGUGGGAACUAGAUUCCCUGUCUUGGCAGCAACUUCUAUUUUUCUUCUUUGUUUCAACCAUGUAGUUCUAUGGUUGUGACCUUCGAAAAAUAAGAUAAAGAAACAAAAUGACAUACUUCCUUGCGUUAGCAUUGUAAUAUCUUGCAUAUGCAGUCAUGUAGACUCCACAUAUAGUGCAGGUAUUCACUUUUUUUGUUAAAGCAAUUCAAAAUUGGACAUUGUAUUACACUCCCUCCUUUUUUUAAAAGAACUUGAGAUCUGUAGGUUCGAUUGGAUCUGUAAUUGGCUGUAAUGUAGGCAAUAUGAAAUGGCGAAUUAGUAACUAAUUUAAAUUCACAAACUAAGGAAACCAUAAUAAGUAUGUUUAUCACUAUUCUUUUUAGAGUAAAAUAAAAAAAAGGUCUUUGAAGUUAUUCUGUAUGAUGUUGUCUGAUCCUCAAACUCUCAAAAUGCUUGCAUUGUGAGGUUAUAGAAAUUGUCCUUGUAUGGAAUGUAAGUCCCAAGCCCUUAUAAUGCUACUUUCAUCCACAGGACUUGUCACGUGUUGUCAUCUAGUCUUGUUCUUAAUGAGCCCUAACACACUAUACACCCUCAUGUGGCAUGUCACAAUUGAUCCAUUUGUGGUUCAGUAUUGAUGAGUAGUCUAACACGAGGUUAUGUAUAUCACACAUAUUGGGCUGUUGCACUAUAUCCGAGCGAAGAGAGAGAGAGGGGGAACUCGGGAUGGUGGUCCAAAGGCCAACAUAUAUGUGUGGUGCCCAUAGAUAGAAUCGACUAGUACAGAUAUUAUGAGACAUAUAGGUAGCAUUUGGUUAGGAGAUAAGGUGGGAUGGAAGAAUGAUCUUGUCUCUGGUUGGAGGGAUGCAGUGACCCUAUUUUCUUUUUGGUUGGAAAGCGAUGGGACCAAUUUGUUUUCUAUUUGGUCUUAGAUAUAAUAACUCAAAUCAUGUGGGUCCCAUUUGGCAGUUUUAAUUCUCUUUUUCUUCCUCCUCUCCUUACCUUGUUCACGAACUGUAGCCACCCAAAGGACUCGCAAGUGCGACACCCUCUGCCUCCUCCCGUUGAGUCGGCCAUGGCUUAUGCCACCUGCUUCAUGUGUAGCCACCCAAAGGACUCGCGCACGGUGGCUCCUAAAAGGUUGCACGACGGCAGCCUCUGAGCUCACGCGUGGAGGCUCCUCUUAUCUCGGCACAGUGGUGCCCCCCCAAGGUCAUGCAAGGCGGCAAUCUCCCGAGCUCGCGCGAUGGUGGCCCCCUGUGCUCCUCGUCUUCAUUGACCUCCCGUAUGUGCACCUCCUCUUGUCUUCUUCCUCACCAGUGAGUGGGCUUGUCCCACCUCAGGUGACCCCCUGUUCGUCAAAUUUCUGCACAAGCACGCAUGUGAGCAACUAUCGUGGUCGUGUAGCCACCAUGCUUGCGCAGCCAAAUAGAAUUGGGGUAUGAAAUAGUUUAAGGAUCUAAAUGUACAGUUUUACAUUUAGUGAUCUGAUAGAAGAUGCCGUAGUUUAGAGACUAUGGGUGUAAUUUGCUCUAUGACAAUGGUUGGAAUCGCUUCCAAUCGCCUCCCAUCGCCUCCGCUAAAAACUUUUUUCUUGAUUUAAUUUGUGGAAGGGUAAUAACAUCAUUGUACAAGGUUCUCUGAAACCCCAACCCCUAUCAUCGGCAGCGACGGCUCCCUGUAACACGCAUUGGUGGACGCAGACGGGUGGAACUCAUAGAAGAUUUAAAAAAACUUAAGAAGAAGAUUUUUAUCUAACUAGCUAUAGUACUUGAAUCAAACAUCCUAUCUAUGUUACUCAAAAUAUUACUUUUACAAUUAUGAAUUUACCCUUUUACCCUUCAUUAAAAAAGAAAUACAAAAGGAGAAAUUACCGCUCCUCUAUUUAGGGUCUUAAUUCCUAUAAUUUUGGAGGCGAUGGGAGGCAAUGUGACAUCUAUGGCCCACCGACCAUAGACACACCUAUUGCCUCCCAUCACCUUGCUUCCAUCGCUUUGCUUCUCAUCGCCUCUCCAACCAUUGUAAAAAUAUUAAUUAUAGUAUUAUUACUGGACGUACGUGUAUGUGGAGAAGGCAUUGCUUAUGAAUUGUAUACAACAGUAUUUAAAAUUGAUUUUUGAACGUGAAGCUGGUGGAAGCGUGAUAUAUAGCAAAGAAUCCACAUACCAACGCUAAACUCAUGGUGGCAAUUAAUGUACAUGCUUUGUAAACUGCAAUUGCCCACUGGGUGAAAUCUAAGGAAGAGUGGGCCAAGAAACUAAUAUUAGACCUAGUACCACUUAGAAUAUUAAUUAUUUUAUAACAAAAUUUGAAACUAAACCAACCGCAUUUGUUGGGAGUAGACUAUACAGCUUUCAACCGUUUAUUUGUAUUGGAAUGCACGAGGAUAUUACAUGCUGAGUUAUUAGUGUAGUGUACUGGCACAGUAGCGUAUAUAUGGAUGUGUGUCACUUGUAAUGGAAACAAUUAUUUCUAAUAUUUUUGCUUGGCCAUACGUACGUUUGUGCGCACCUUCUAGUGAGCAUUCUUCCUCAAUGUUGAGUUUUGUUUGCACGAGCACUGUAGCUUUAUUACACAGAAUUUCUAUCGACUAUUGCGUCAACCCAUGUUCUGGCAUGGGCUCGAAUUUUAUGAGAUAUAAGUAUUAAGUAUUGUUCUGGUCAUUUCAAAUUAUAAACCAUUUUGGCUAUUAAAGAUAUAUUAUUUUUCAUUGUACCUAACAGUAUAUCUAAGUGUAUAGAAAAAACUAUAUACUUUCGAAACAUGUUAUAAUUUGAAAUGCGCGGAGUAGAUCUGAAUAAUAAUGAAAUAGUCAUAAAUUAUAUGUUUUUCUCUUUGUCUAAUCUCUAACAUAAUAGACAUGAUAGAUACUCUAUAGUCUAUAUCUAGUUAUCAUAAACUUAUUAGUUACUAUUUUUUCAACAAACUAAUCUAUAUAUUUUUAUCCAUAUUACUUCAAAUAUGCAAUUACUUUGAAACCUUACCAUUAAUCACGGUGGCUCUUGUUUUGUUAUGUAUCAAAUUUCUUAUUGACUGCAUCAGAUUUAUUUUUUCUCUCCUUAAGUUAAGUUGAACCCCUUAUGCUUAUUGUAUCUUUCAUUAACUCUUCUUUUUGUAUUUUUGAAAUAAGAAUUUUAGGACAUAGUUUACAUUCUUAGGAACUACAAUAGCAUAAGACAUCAUUUGAAACAUACACCAUAUUGCUUAAGAUAAGCCACAGAGCUUGAAGUGAGUUCACAAACAUGAUGGCUAAGGAAAUAUUAACCUCAAGAGAAUUUUUUAUUCUAUUGCUAAGGAAAUAACUUUUUUGUGAUUAAACAUAACAUAUUUAUUCCAUUGCUCAUGCAUGAUGGCAUUACGUGUAUAUUUACUUUAAUCAAAUCUUACUAUAUGUGUUUUAUGAGAAUUUCUAGGAUCUAUCUUUUGUUUUCCUAUCAAGUCUUGUGACGAUUAACAUGCAAGCUCUAGUAGAAACGUCUUGUUAGAAUUUAUAGUAUUUAUCUUUUUUCUAGUGUGAUAUGUAUUUAGUUGAAAACUAAACUUAAGAUAUAUAAACUCUUGAUACAACUCUUUUUUGACAUUGCAAAUCUACAUUUAUCUUUUAACUUUGAAUUAAAUUGUUGCAAUUUCUUCACAUGUUAAUUAGAAAUUCUGGUAUUCUUUAUCUUUUAUUCAAAAAUCAUUUUUUAUUAUAACGAAUAUAGGUCCAGUAGUAUUGUUUUCCACAUAUGCUAAAAUUUGGCUUGCAUUCUGACAGUAAACAUGUUCAAUUUGUUAUGUCAUACGAUUAUGUGUUGUAUUAUUGAUAUAUCAUAUUGUGCAUAAAUUUAAGUUGACAAUAUUGAUAUGACAUAAUGUUUCAGUAAAAACAUAUAAACUUGUUUAAAAUAAUAAUUAUUGAAUUUAUUAUCACGGAGUAUAGAUAUAAAGUGUUAUUGCUACAUCGUUUGCUAUGUGAACAUUUUUCAAUGUUUCAUAACUUUUAAAAUAAAUGUUAUCCAAAUUUAUACAUGUUUAUUUGAUAUACAUGGUGCAACAUUGCAUUUAGUUAUUUUAUUUCACGAUUAUUGAAUUAUGCAAUUUAGAAAUAUAUACAUGUACCAUACUUUUUGUUAAUAUUGAUAUUUUUAAUAGUAUAUAUUACUAUUUACAUGUCAAUUUUAGAUAUGUUUUGUUUAUCUUCAAUUCUGGCUAAGGUACAUACAAAAAUAAAUUUAAUACCUUGCAUUAUAUUUCACAAAGACAUAAAUGGAUAGGUUCAACACAAACAUAGAAUAUUAAUUUGCAUUAUUUUUCAUAAUGAUAAAGGUGGGAGAAUUUAUAAUUAGGAGGCAUUUUAAAUUAUGUUCCAUAAGGGUAUAUUGGGUAGUUUAGAUACAAAGUUAGAAUAUUAUUUUUUAUUAUCUUUCACAAUGACAAAAGCAAGGUAAUUUAGACACAAUUUUAGGGGUUUAUUUAAAUUAUGUUUCAUAAUCGCCAACGUGGGUAAUUUAGAUGAAAAAUCAGGGAGUGAUUUUGAAUUAUUUUUUAUGAUGACAUACAUGGGUAAUUUAUAUACAAAUAUAGAGGGUUAUUUUGAAUUAUCUUUUGUAAUGUCACAAUUGGGUAAAUUAAAUGCAAAAUUCGGGGUUACUUUAUUGUAUUUUCAUAACGGCAGUAGUGGGUAAUGUUUUAUAAACUAUAAUAGAUGCAAUGGCUAUUAUCACUGAUGAUAUUAGAGUUUAUCAAAUGAAAGGCUAGAUGUUUUUUAUUAUUGUCAUAAUUUGGAGGAUUUAUCUUUUUACUAGCAUUUUGUUAUGUCUCUGUUGGGGUCUCUAAUUAGAAUUUAUAGGAUUUAUCUUUUCUAGUUUCUGGUGAGAAUUAACGUGGUGUCUCUGUUGGGGCUUCUAAUUAGUAAUAACUAGGAGGAUUCCCCGCGCUUUGCUGCGGGUAUGAAAGAGGAAUAUAAAUAUGGUCUCACUAUAGUCUAUUAUGUCAUCUAUAUAUAGUUUUAGUAGUCAGUUUCAAAAGAGAAAGAGAGGAGAUCACGUGAGAAAAUAAUUGCUAGCAGUAUGCAUGCAUGGUCAUGUGUAGGUAGUUGCAUCCACUGCUGGAACCAUUUGUGAGUGGGCUAAAUUGCAUGCAGCAGCAGAAGAAGUGGAUGAUGAUGCAGCAGAAGAAGUGAAACUUUUUGGAUCUAAACAAUGCCUUAGUUGCAUAUGCAUAAAGUAUAAUAUAAAAAAGGAUGACCAAUAAUUGUGUGCUAGAGAUCCCAUUUCUUCUUGAUGUGCUUUGCAUUGGUAGCAUAUCACAACACUGCACGGUAAAUUAUUUUUUGUCUAAUUGGCCUGAAAUUCUUGCAGGCUGUCAGAGAUGUGAAUGAUGAGCCGCAGGUUGAAAAUUUAAAGGAUAUUGGCUUGAUACUUGUAAAAAAAUGUGAUGGUUUACCUCUUGGGAUCAAAGUAAUGGGAGGUCUCCUGAGUCGGAAAAGGAUAACACGAACCGACUGGCAAAAGGUCUUAGAUGAUUCUCUAUGGUCAAUAUCACAAAUGCCUGAAGAGCUAAAUUAUGCAGUAUAUCUUAGCUAUGAAGAUCUAGACCCUUGUUUGAAGCCUUGUUUUUUGCACUACUCCCUCCUCCCUAGGGGUACAGUUUUUUUUGUUCAUGAAAUUGUUGGAAUGUGGAUUGGUGAAGGAUAUGUUCAUGGAACAUUACGUGACGACCUAGAAGAAAUAGGAAGGGAAUAUUAUAAUGAGUUAAUACAGCGGAACCUUAUUGAGCCAGAUAUCAAGUUUAUUGAUCAAAGUGUUUGCAACAUGCAUGAUGUUGUCCGGUCAUUUGCUCAGAACAUGUUCCGAGACGAAGCACUCAUAACUCACAAUAGUAGAAUUGGGAUUGACAAGCUUAAAGCACAAAAGUUUAUGCGGUUAUCUCUCGAAAGCAAACAAUCGGAACAAUCUGAUUUGGAGUGGUGUUCUCUACAAACACAAAUGUCACUGAGAACAAUGCUUUUAUUUGGUAAUAUAAAGAUUCAACCAGGUGAUUCAUUUCGUUCUUUUUCAAGUCUCCGAACACUACACUUGGGCAGUGUAAAUAUUGUUGCAAUACCCGAAUCUUUGUAUCAGCUGAAACAUCUGAGGUAUCUGUCAAUAGAAAACAGUAAUAUAUCUAAGUUAUCAGAAGACAUUGGCAAGUUGAAAUUCUUGCAGUUCAUUAGCCUUUUUGGUUGUCCGAGUUUGACCAAGCUUCCCAGUAGCAUUGGACUGCUACAUGACUUGAGGUAUCUCUGUCUUCACAGAACAAAUAUAAGUGUUGUACCAAGGGAUUUUUGUGGUCUAACUUCUUUGAGGAAAUUAUAUGGAUUUCCAGCCCACAUGGACUGUGACCGUUGUAGUUUGGAGGAACUUGGGCCUCUCUCCCAGCUAACUGAACUUAAUAUCAGUUUCUUGGAGAAUGUAGCUUCUUCCUCAUCUGCUAUACAGGCCAAACUUGGUGGAAAGAAGCGCCUAAGGUAUCUCUCACUGGGUUGCACCAGUAGACUUGGAGAUGAUGGCCUGUUGGUAAAAAAGGAAGAAGGGAUCUCUGAGAAAGCCAAGAGACAAAUCGAGGAGGUCUUUGAUGAGCUCUGCCCUCCGCUUGGCUUAGAAAACCUUAACAUUGAAGGGUAUUUCGGUGAGCGGCUCCCAAGAUGGAUGAUGUCAGCAGCAGCAGUUAUGCCGCUUAGGAGCUUGAGGACUGUUACGAUGGACAACUUGGCCUGCUGCACAGAGCUUCCUAGUGGCUUGAGUCAGCUCCCCUGCUUGGAGCUUCUGCAGAUUGUUCGUGCCCCAGCCAUCAAGUGUGUUGGGCAUGAAUGGCUACAACCAAACAAUCAAUUAGGUUUUGCGUUUCCCAGACUGCAGGAGCUGCACUUUGAGGGAAUGGUCGAAUGGGAGGAAUGGGAGUGGGAGGAACAAGUGAAAGGCAUGCCUAUCUUGGAGUUGCUUAAACUGAAAAUGUGCAAGUUGAGGCGUGUGCCACCAGGCCUGGCCUUCCACGCAAGGGCUUUGAAGAAGUUAUGUAUAUAUGGUGUGAAGCAUCUAAGCUCUUUGGAGAACUUUGCUUCUGUGGUCCACCUGGACGUGUUUAGAAACACUCACCUGGAGAGGAUCAGUAAUCUACCAAAACUGCAGAAGCUCGUCAUCGUCAUGUGCCCAAAGCUGAAGGUAGUG